UGCGCGCUGACGUCACAACCAUCCCGGAAGUGCAGGCUAGUGAUGGCCGCGGCCUCGUCAUCUCGGCAACAGGAAGAGAAUGUUUUCUGUCACCGACAAGAGACCAUCGGCUCAUGUUAAACUUCCAUAAGGGAUCACCCCGCCAGAGAGUUCACUUGCCGGAGUCGCUCUGGAAUCAGACUGCCCACCUCGCCCGGUGCCCGAGGUGGUCCUUGUGAGCCCCGAAGUGGGCAGCAAGUCGCAGCAGCUAGGAAGCUAACAGGAUGUCGCUAUUCCAGUCGGCGCUCGAUUUCCUCGCCGGGCCCGGCUCCGCCGGAGCGGCUAGCCGGGACCAGAACGACUUUGUGGGGCAGCUCGUUGAACUCGGCGACAUGAAGCUGCGGAUCAAGAGAGUUAUUGCGGAAGGUGGCUUUGCCUUUGUGUAUGAAGCCCAGGACAUUGGAAGCGGUAAAGAUUACGCUCUAAAGCGGCUGCUGUCCAACGAGGAUGAGAAGAACAAGGAAAUCAUCCAAGAAGUUUGCUUCAUGAAAAAGUUAUCAGGACACCCCAACGUGGUCCAGUUCUGCUCGGCCGCCUCCAUCAGCAAAGAGGAGUCCGACACCGGCCAGGCCGAGUUCCUGAUCCUCACGGAACUGUGCAGAGGUCAGCUGGUGGACUUCCUGAGGCGAGUGGAGCAGCGGUCGCACGUGUCAUGUGACACAGUGCUGAAAGUCUUCUACCAGACGUGCCGCGCCGUGCAGCAUUUGCACAGGCAGAAGCCGCCCAUCAUACACAGAGACCUCAAGAUCGAGAACCUCCUCAUUAGUAACCAAGGCACCGUCAAGCUGUGCGACUUUGGCAGCGCCACCACCGUGUCACAUUACCCCGACUACAGCUGGUCGGCACAGAAGAGGUCCAUGGUGGAGGACGAGAUCACGCGGAACACCACUCCAGCGUACCGGACCCCAGAAAUGAUCGACCUGUAUUCCAACUUCCCCAUCAACGAGAAACAGGACAUCUGGGCCCUGGGCUGCAUCCUCUACCUGCUGUGCUUCAAGCAGCACCCGUUUGAGGAGGGCGCCAAGCUGCAAAUCGUGAACGGGAAAUACGCCAUCCCGCAGAACGACGCCAAGUACGCUGUGUAUCACGACCUCAUACGCUCCAUGUUGAAGGUGCACCCAGAGGAGCGUCUCUCCAUUACAGAGUUGGUCAACCAGCUUCAGGAAAUAGCGGCGGCGCGCAACGUCAACCCAAAGUCUCCCGUCACUGAGCUGCUGGAGCAGAACGGAGGAUUCGGCAACAACGGAGCCCCGGCGCCCCCGCAGAUCCACAACGUCCACGGAGGCAAUGCAGGCAUCUAUGAUCCAGAUCAGUCGGGCAGCGGCUUCCUGGACAUCCUCAAGGGAGGAACGGAGCGCUUCCUGACCAACAUCAAGGACACCUCCUCCAAGGUCAUCCAAUCGGUAGCCAGCUACGCCAAAGGUGACCUAGACAUAUCCUACAUCACCUCCAGGAUAGCAGUCAUGUCGUUCCCAGCCGAGGGGGUGGAGUCGGCGAUAAAGAACAACAUCGAGGAUGUUCGACUCUUCUUGGACUCUCGCCACCCCGGCCACUACGCCGUCUACAACCUCUCCAAGCGCUCCUACAGGCCGUCGCGCUUCCACAACAGGGUUUCUGAGUGCAACUGGCAGGUGCGGCGUUCCCCCAACCUGCGCAGCCUUUACAGCGUUUGCAAGAACAUGCACCAGUGGCUCAAACAGGACCAGAGGAACAUCUGCGUGGUCCACUGCCUGGAUGGCAGAGCGGCGUCGGCCGUGGCCGUGUGCUCCUUCCUGUGCUUCUGCCGCCUUUUCACCACAGCCGAGGCGGCCGUCUACAUGUUCUCCAUGAAGCGAUGCCCGCCCGGCAUCGCCCCCUCGCAUAAGAGGUACAUCGAGUACAUGUGCGACAUGAUGGCGGAGGAGCCCAUCAUCCCCCACUGCAAGCCCAUCGUCAUCCGCUCCAUCACCAUGACGCCCGUGCCCCUCUUCAACAAGCAGCGCAACGGCUGCAGGCCGUUCUGCGAGGUUUACGUCGGAGACGAGCGGGUCCUCACCACGUCACAGGAGUACGACAGGAUGAAGGAUUUUAAGAUAGAGGAUGGAAGAGCAGACAUUCCUUUGAAUGUGACGGUUCAAGGAGACGUACUGGUGGUGAUCUACCACGCCAGGUCCACGCUGGGAGGACGUCUGCAGGCUAAGAUGGCCUCCAUGAAAAUGUUUCAAAUCCAGUUCCACACAGGCUUUGUCCCUCGGAACGCGACCAAUGUGAAGUUCGCCAAGUACGACCUGGACGCCUGUGACAUCCAGGAGAAGUACCCAGACUUGUUCAAGGUCAACCUGGACAUCGAAGUGGAGCCCAGGGACAGGCCCAGCACCAAGACCCCGCCGUGGGACAGCUUCCAGACCAAGGGCCUCAAUCCCAAAAUCCUUUUCUCCUCUCGCGACGAGCAGCAGGAGAUCCUCAGCAAGUUCGGUAAACCGGAACUGCCUCGCCAGCCGGGGUCCUCGGCUUUCUAUGACUCCGGUUUGCCACCACAGCCCACAGAGCAGACCCCCGAAAACUCAACCGCCACUCAACCGGACUCUCCCAAUAGCACGGAUACCAAUGCCAACAACUUCUUCCAGACGCUGGAUUGGGAAGAUGUUGGCCACCCGCAGGACGCCUCGAAUAGUCAAGCAGGAGGAUCUGUGAACGAUCAGGAAGAUGGAAGCGAUCAGUCAGAAGCAGAGUCCUACUCUUACUCUGCCCCCAGUGGGGAGCCUCUGUCGCGGGACACCAGCGAACCGCUCUUUGACGCCGACUUCCAGACUCCGCCCACCGCAGCCGAGGACUCUCCCGCCAACGACACAGCUGAUCUCUUAGGUUUGAACUCUGACCCCGCCUCAGCAGGCUAUCCAAGCGCACGGGCGGGCCUGAAAGCCUCCUCCAGCCACAGCGACCUUCUUAAUGACCUUUUUGCACCCCCUGCUGGGCACAGCACGGCAGCGCAGGAAGACUUGUUCUUCAGCGGACAAACCGGAGGCUCGAAACCCGUAAAUGACCCAUUCGAUCCAUUCGGCAUGGGCUCCAGCUCCGGCGUGGGCUCCAGCGUGGGCUCGUCUCGUCAGGCCUCCGGUCCGGAUCUCUUCGGGGACUUGUUGGGCUCGGAUGGUUCUGCCGGCAGCGGGUUCAACUCUGCCCAGAGUGACGCCGCCCCCACUUCCAACGCCAGCCUCUUAGACCUCAAUAAGUUAGUGAACGAUGCUCCGAAAAUGACGUCGUCCGCCAGCCACCCUGACCUCCUGCGGGGGUGGGACAACUGGGCGGCGAGCACGUCCACCGGCAUGAGCAGCGCUAGCGCCACUAGGCCCGCCUACACCAGCGCAGGUGCUUCUAUGUCGUCAAUGUCGAAGGCCAAAUCUCAGACCUUUGACCCUUUUGCUGACUUAGGAAACCUGAGCUCCAAAUUACCAAAUUCAACCAACAGUAAUACGUCUGGGCCGUCAUUUGGCACAAAAGCAACGUCCACCACCUCCUCCUCCUCCUCUUCUGCUAAGCCGCAAGGCCAGUCCUGGCAGCCCGGUAGAGCCCCCUCAAGUCAGAACAAGCCAUGGCAGUCCGGAUCUGGGUCUGCACCCAAAGCGUCGUCUGCCCCCCAGCCUUCCAGCACGCAGGCGGCCAAGCCCAACUACAACCUCAACUUCUCCAGCGUCAUCGGAGGCCGCGAGGAGCGAGGUGUGCGAGCUCCGGGAUUCGGCCCCAAGCCCAAGGUAAAGGAGGACGAUUUUGGGGACUUGCUGUCCACUCAGGGUUUUUCCUCCAAGCUGGACAAAAAAGGGCCGAGGACCAUCGCCGAAAUGAGGAGGGAGGAGAUCACAAAAGAAAUGGAUCCCCUAAAAUUACAGAUCUUGGACUGGAUCGAGGGCAAGGAGAGGAACAUCAGGGCGCUGCUGUCCACUCUGCACACCGUGCUGUGGGAGGGUGAGACUCGCUGGAAGCCCGUGGGCAUGGCCGACUUGGUGACGCCCGACCAGGUGAAGAAGUUCUACAGGAAGGCGGUCCUGGUGGUCCAUCCCGAUAAGGCAACGGGCCAGCCUUACGAGCAAUACGCUAAGAUGAUCUUCAUGGAACUGAACGACGCCUGGUCAGAGUUUGAGAACCAGGGAUCGAAAGCGCUCUUUUAAGGUAAUAUGGUCGCUGGUCUGCGUUCAGCUCGAACCGGACCAGACCGCGUGCUAAGAUGGACUGGAUUUGGCCUUCCGAACAAAGAUUUAUCCUGGGCCAGAUUGGACUGGACUGAGCCCACAUUGGGCCUUCUUGCUUUUGAGAGGUGUCCUCUCUCGGACCACUCCAUCCUUGACUGCCGUCUCCUUCUGCCUCCUGGCUGGUAGAACCAGUCCAAACCUCAAGUGGUCACUCAAACUCACACAAAAAAAAAAACGUAUGAUGCUAACAGCCGAUAUGUGUUAGUGCCUGUGAGCAUCGCAAGCAAGCGGUUUAUCGAACUGCUGAAAAAGUAUGAAAAACAUUAGCAUUGUUUUAUUACCAAAUGGAGAAACUGGCUGGUAAGCUUUGGAAAAGUAGCGACAGACAAGGAACAUUGGACAGGAAUACUAAAUGUACCGCUUCUCCCAUUACCUUGAUGAAUACACACACACUCAUUGCACGUUACUGGCUCAGUAUAAACGCAAACAGGCAGUCUCUUGCUCUCAAAAAGUGCUCUUUUUUUUUUGUUUUUGUUUUUGUAGCUGAAGUGUUCCAGACACUCGUGCUAUGCUACGUUGCUAACUGCAGGCACCGGAAUGACGGGACGGUGAUCUUGCGCUCGUGCUGCCUUCCAGGUGUUCUGGGAAGUCAGGUAUUUCUCCUCUCCUACUCGGACCCUGACAAUGUAUCUAUUUUUAACGUGGUUAUAUCAUCAGAUAGCACCUUUUACAAAUGUUAUUCUAACGUACUGUCACGCUCGUCAGCCAGUUUUUUUUCGUUUACACGUGACUGCCGUACAUGGUAACCCCCUAAAGGAGGAAAUUUCUGACUUCCCAGUAGACUUGAAUGCCACGUAAGCAUCGUGCGACGCUGUGUUGCUAACUGUGUGCGCACCAACAUUGAGGCACUUAACGACCGAGGGAGACCAAUACGGUCGGAGUCAUGCUGUGCAAUGCAGCUAACUGCAGUGAAGCUCUUAGUGAUGGAGGGAGAGCAUACGGUAGCUACAUGCAUGCUAACAAUGAUACUCUUAGUGAUGGAGGGAGAGCAUACAAGUAGCUACAUGCAACCUAAAUGCUACAUGCAACCUAGCAAUGAGGCUCUUAAUUGAGGGAGGGCAUACAGUAGCUACAUGCAUGCUAACAAUGAUACUCUUAGUGAUGGAGGGAGAGCAUACAGUAGCUACAUGCAUCCUAACUGAUGGGGGGGGGGGCAUGCAGCGCAGGCUCACAAACACCGACCCUCGAUUUCACAACAUUGUGACAGUUAGCAUCACGCUAUGCUAUGUGGCUAACUGGAUACACCUCCAGGAUUACGUCAUCAGCGAUGCAUGGGGUUCGGAAUGGAGCGCAUACAGUUGGCUAAGUGGCAUUGCACAAUACUGGCCUUUGGUUUGAUUGACAGCUGUCAAAAAAUCCAAGUGAGGGCCUCAUUACGAGCACAUUAAAGAAAAAAACAACAAAUGAAAGGAAGGAAAAAAAGAACAGGGUGAUUGAAUGUGGUCUUUGGCGUCCAUUGUGUGUGUGUGUGUGUGUGUGUGUGUGUGUGUGUUUGUUUGUCUCAGCCAUCGUUGUAAAUAUCAAACAUCCAUCAAGUGACUUUCCGUGGAUGACAGCUUGGGCGUUUGAGUGACGUGUGUGUGUGUUUUUUUUUUUUGUUUGUAAGAAUAAGAUCACCCUUAAUGACUCUGCUUUUAUUUCACUUUUUACCUCAUGGACCAAUCCAAUCACUUGCUUUCUUAUUUAUUAUUAUUAUUUUUGUGGCUUUGUGUGGGGGAGGGUGGGCUGUAGUGACUUCUAUUCAUGCGUAAUAAAAGUUAGGCGUUGAUAUUCUAAUAUAUAGAAUGAGCGAGCAGGACGGCUGAUCAUGAUGAGCCUCGUUGAUUUCAUUCCAAAGUAUCAGUUAUGAAUAUGAAUGUUCCUUUACAAAUAUAUUAUUAUUAUCAUCUUUAUUAUUUUUCCAUUUUCUCUUCUUUUUUUUUUAUACUUUCUUUGUUCUUUUUCACUACUUUGUUCAAUUCCAACACCAAUGUGGGGCCAAGUCAGGAGAAAUGACUUUUUUUUUUUUGCCCUGUGUUUGAAAUCAAGUUGACAUUUUGACAGUAUGAUCGUGACAAGCAUCAGGACGGAGUACACAAUAGCACACAUCAGCAGUGUUUUACUCUACCAAACCAAUUAUGUCCUACUAAUAUCAUGAAUGUAGAUUUCAAUGCAAAAAAAAAAAACACCCACAAGGAAUGAUUAAAAGAUGUUUGAUCCAAAUGACAUAUUAUGGAUUUAUUUAUUGUCUCUUCAAAUACAAAUACUGUAUAUCUAUAAAAUAAUACAGGGGUGUCCAAAGUGCAGCUUGGGACCAUUCAUGUCCGAAUGGACAGAAAAUAACAUUUUAGUAGUAUUAAGUUGAAAUAUGACAAUACAAUGAAUAAUGAUGUCAUUUGUGGAGAAUUAGGUAUAUUAGGGAUAAGUUAUAAUGUUCCAAGAAUAAAGUCAAAAUAUGGGAAUAAGGUCAGAAUUAUGAGAAGAAAAUUUAGUUUGUUGAAAUAGUAGUUUUUUUUUUUUAUGGGAAUAAAGUCCAAAUGUUAAAAGAUUUAAACAAGAAAAGAAGUGGUCCUCAAUAUUGUGAGGAACAGUAAUGUAAUUUUAGUGUUGCAGAGUUCAAAUAUAAUAACUUUGUAUUUUUUUAAUAUAACAAAAUUAAUUAGUAAUUUCUGAAAAAUUUGGUUGAGAAUAAGACAAAAAGACAUUUUAAAAACAGCAAAAAAUGGGGGGCGGGGGGGUAUAAAUGAGAAUACCAGUGCUAGUUUAUUGAGACUAGCUGCGUCAGCGGAACAGUCCUAAAAUUCUAAAAAGUCCUACUUGGAGGAUCGUAGUUACUUUGUGACAAUUGGGAAUUAUCAAUCUGAUUGGGUAGCUUUGACAUAUGGAGUUCCUCAGGGCUCCAUUCUUGGACCCUUUCUGUUUAGCUUAUAUAUGUUGCUUUUGGGUCUAAUUCUGCAGAAAUUUUACAGAUAUUUUAAUCAUAAUUAUGCAGAUGACACACAGAUAUUGUCACUAUCUCCAGAUGACUGUAGUCCUGUAGAGUCAUUGUGUGAGUCACUGGCACUAGAGACUAAAGACCAGGUCCGAAACCUUGGUGUGCAGAUCUAACCUUUUAACAGCCAUAUCAAAUCAGUCACCAAAACAUCUUUUUACCAACUAAAGAGUAUAUCAAGAAUUAAGAACUUCAUGUUUGCUGUCCUGUUUACAACCUAAAUGCAGGUUUGGGCGUUAAUAUUAGAGACCUCAAGACAUGAAAUAACACCCCUAUAGUCACCUUCAUACUCAUUUUACUCAAUAUAGUAGACAUAUAGAUACAUACAUCGACUCAAAUUGGUGUUUUUUGACUUCCUGUUUUGAUUGGUACUCCCUGUGGUGGCAGUAACAAUCCUGACAUAUACACUAAAUGUGAAUAUUUGAUUAAUAAUAAGCCAAUGAUUUAUGAAUUCAUUUUGAAAAACCCAGGAUUGGGUGAAAGCGCAAAAAUAAUUGAAAAAGAAUUGUAAUAUAUAUCGGAAUUAAAAUUACGUGUAAUGGAGACAAAACACAGACGUCAUCGUAAAGAGUUGGCAGCUUUAUUUCAAAGGUCAAGCCAUCUGAAGAAAAAAAAAAAAUUACAAUCCCAUCCGAUGUGUUGCUUUGUUCAGACAAACAUCUUCCAUGCGGAAAAUAAAACCCAGUACUUUGCACGGUCUAUACAAAAAUUAGAAAAAUAAGAAAACUGUAAUAAAACAUCGCUUAGGAUGUGUCUUGAUAGCGUCCUAGCAUGCUAAUUAAACCGUGUUUCCGUUAAUUCAGUUCAAUAAUUCUCUGAUGACCAGGUGACGGCACCCCAAUGAACACAUGUCGAAAAGUAGGAUGCCACAGAUCGCCAAUUUUAGGGUCCUUUACGAAAGAAAAGCAUACAGAAUAAUUGUGCUUCUUUGAAACCAACUUCAUGUCCCUCUCCAGAACCGAAGCCUCGUUCACUGAUGUUUGAUGCGCUCGUGACGAGCCACAAUAUGGUUCCACUUGGGGUUUUGCCCGAGGCUCUUUGGGAGGGACAAGAACCAACCCCAGAAACUCACUUUUGAGAUUUAGAUGUCCCUUCAAUUUCCUGUUCUAAACUCUGAAUAUGAAGAAUGGAUGCCAUCUGUUUUCCUCCUGCUAGGACUUCCUGUCUUCAAGUCCACUAAAUGUCCAUGUUGUAUCUGGAAGAGACAGAAACAUUAGCAGGUUUUGUUCUGUUUGUGAGGACGGAAUGUACUGUAGUUACUCAACAUUGAAACUAAGUAGGUACGAUAACUAGUGGAGGGUUCCCAAGACUAAGUUCCCAAGAAAGAAUCCAAAAAAUAUGAAUAUUGUAAGUUGUAAGUUCCAAAUUAUACAGUGGCAUGAAAAAGUGUUUGCGCCCUUCUCCCUUUGUCCCACUUCUAUGUUUCAGAUUAACAAGCAAAUGUAAAUAUGGGUGGAAAAAACGUGAUUGCACUGAGCAGAAAGUCCCAAGACCAAAACCACUUCUGAACAAUCGUGAUGAUCCCCAAAAUACUCUGUGGUCUGACGAUACAGAAUUGAUCUGUGUAGAAGGUGUGUAUCAUUACAUCUGGCGAAAAGGUAACCUCAAACGCCUUUGAGAAAAAGAACAUUAUAGCAACAGUAAAAUAUGGUGGAGGUAGUGUGAUGGUCUGGAGCUGUUUUGCUGAUUCAGGACCUGGAAAGACUUCCUGUGAUCAAUAGAAGCAUGAAUUCUGUUGAAGGAGAAUAUCCGACCAAACUUGGGUUCAGUAGCAGGACAAUGAUCCAAAACACACCAGCAAGUCCACCUCUGAAUGGCUGAAGAAAAACCAAAAUGAAGACUUUGGAGUGGCCUAGUCCAAGUCCUGAUGCUGUGGCAUGACCUUAAAAAUUGCUGGGAAAGCUUCCAGUGGGGCUGAAUGACAACAAUUCUGCAAAGGUGCAGAUUUGUGGUAGAUGGGAUCCAAAGAUGCAAAUACUCAAGAUGACCCUGAAAAUAAGUUAGCUACCCAACACAGGAAGAAGGACGAUUCUACAUGGAGUCUACAUAAGGGUCUACAUACCAAGGAUGAUCGAUUCCAAAGAAGCAAAGGAAGACCCAGUGAAUAAGUUGGCUACCACACCAAAGAGGCCCAGAAGGUUGUUACCCAGAACAGAAUUGUCCCAAAGAACCAAGAUUGGUACCUAGUACCGUACUUCCUGUUCGCCCAUUUUGCUCAUUGUGGAUAACGUUUAUAGCCUUGGAUUUUCAUUGCCUUAAAACUUGGACUGGAUCCGAACAUGUUUCCAACUUACAAAGAUAAAAAAAAUGGACUGUGUUGAAAGUUCUAGCCCUCGAUGGAGACCUCUGGAGCCACGUGUCCAUUCAGCACCGCCUCCACUGACAUUUCCUGAAGAAGAAAAACAAAACUCUUUAGCUAGCAAAUCUUUUCCAGACAUGCGAUCCCCUUGAAAUUUAGUGCCUAGACUCUACGAUAUUGAUCUGAAUCGUUUCCAGAUUUAUUGAAUUUUCAUAAAACAAAUCUGCGUCUUAUUCACCAUCUGACAUGAUGGUACACUGGUAUCUUCAGAGAGUACCUCCACACAUUUCAGGUUGGUAGCAGCUUCCUGGAAGGGAAGAAGAUGACAGCAAAAACAUCUAGUUAGCUUUUAUGCAGGACUCAUUUCAACCAUCCUUGAUUUUGGGAUAGAAGGGAAUUCUGGCAAGCACCUCUUUGACUUCCUCAGGGACUUGAGUCACAUCUUUGACCAGAACCUCCGCAUUUGUUUCAUCCUUCUCAGCUGGAGCUGCUUCUGUUACUCCGCCAACAACCGGCACUUCUGGUUCUGUUCCUAACUUAGCAGCUGGUUCCUCAAGUGCUACCUUCUGGGAAGGUUCGGAUUCAGCCUUUGGUGCUUCUGUUUCAGGUACGCUAGUGACCACUUGCUCUGCGGAUUCAGUUUCCACUUGGACAACCGGUUCUGCUUUUACCAUUUCUGGUACAACAAAGUGUACUGAUGCCACCACUUUUUGGGCAACGGUUUCUACUUCUGGGUCUUGGGUGGAACAGACCAUAUUUUGGACUGCAGAUUCCGCUUCAGACGCAUGUUCUGAUUCAUGUGCGAUGGUGAGAACCUCCUCUACGUACGUUUUUGCCGCAGUCGCUGGUGGUGGUACACUAGAGGCAGCCUGCUCUACUGAUUCUGCCGCUUCUUUAAUGGCAGGUUCUGGUUUAAUUACUGGUUCUGGGUCAGGGAUACAAGCAGCGACAUGUUCCGCCACCUUUUGGGUAACCGGUUCUGCUUCAGCCACUUGUUCUGGCUCAGGUACACAAGCGACCGCCUGAUCGACUGAUUCUACUUCAAGGGCAGAUUCUGUUUCAAGUACCGGUCCCGGGUCGCGGAUGCAACAGACGACCGGUCCCUCAGCCGCGUUAACGAUAACCUGAUCUACUGGUUCCGGUUCAGGGAGGCGACACACUGCCUUUUCUGGAACUUUUUGGAUAGCAGGUUCUGCUCCAGCCACUUGUUCUGGCUCAGGUACGCUAGCGACAACCUGAUCCACAAAUUCUGCUUCUACGUUCACAGCCGGUUGUGCUUCAACGACUACUUCUGGGUCAGGCAUGCAGCAGGCAACCGGUUCUGGCACUUUAAGGACAUCCGGUUCUGGUUUAGGUACUCCAGCAACAACCUGCUCAAUGGAUUUGGGUUCCUGUUUUACGGUUUCUGCUUCAGCUGCUUGUUCUUUUUGCGGUUCUCCAGCCACAACUGUUUCUGGUGCCUGAUCUGGUUCAGGUGCGCUGGUGACGGCCUGUUCCACAGUUGCUGGUCCUGAUGUCUGAACGACUUCGGUCUGGCCGCCAUGCUGCGUCUGUAACAGGGACAUGAGGUAAGUGAGAUCCAGAAGAAAAGUGGUGACAGAGAGGUUAUCGUUGCGGUUGCAGGGAACAAAGUGUUCUCCUUCUUGCCACCAUCGUGUCGCCGACCCCCCACCACUGAAGCCAAGUGUGUCAAGCCACAUGAAUAUUGCUACCAACACAGCGACCCAAAUGCUGAGUGACUCUCCUGGACAAAAGCCAAGGGGGGCAAACGGCGUGGGCGGUAGGUCUCUUUUUGUCUGUAAUGCACACAUACAAACACUUCACUUGGACACAAUGGGAUCCACUUCUAAAUAUGACAGACGAUGCUAUCGAACCACUAAAACCUAAAGUAGGUUAGGGAAAAGUUCAAAUAUGGGAAUAAAUCAAAUUAUGAGUGGAUAAUUACAAGAAUAAAAAAGUAUUUGGAAACAUUUUAUUCUCAAUUUUAUAAGAACAUAUAUGCAAAAAUUUGAAAUAUUAAAGCAAAUUUAUAAAAGUCAUAAUAUUACUAGAAACAAAGUUGCAAUAUGUGAUUUUUUUAAUGCAAAAAUUAAUUAAAAAAAAUUUAUUCCAGCAAAAAAAAUAUCAAUUUUGUGAGAAUAAACCCGUAAUAUUAUGAGGAAAAAAUUUCAUUUUAGUAGUACAGACAGUACAGCUUUUUUAAGUCGUCAUAUUACGAGAAACAAAAUAAAUUAAUUUUUUAAUAUGCUACUAUAGGAAUAAAGUCAUAAUAAUAUCAGAAAAUAAUUUUAAAAAGAGUUAAUAUAUUUGGAGAAAAAAACGGCAGAAAAGUCAAAAUAUAAGAAAAAAAUAAAUUAUAUAACAUGAUGAAAAAUAAUGUCAGGGUUUAAUAGCAUAAAAUUCGGAUAUUAAAGGAAAACUAAAUUAUUAUUUAAAACUUAUAAUAAUAUUUAUAAUUAUAAUUAUAUUAAUAUUACGAUAGACAAAGAAAAAUAAAGUUGUAAUUUUUGGAAAAAAACUAGGUUGCAUGCAUGGGGAGAACAUGCAAACUCCACACAGAGAUUCGAACCCAGAUCUUUUUGAGUGUGGGGCCAUGUUUAACCACUAGAACACCAUGUGGCUCGGAUUGGCGAAUAACUUCAAAAUAUUAUGAAAAAAAGUUUGGGCACUUUUUUUGCUAUUGAAUGAAAACUUUUGACCGAUAUUGGAUACUCAGGUGCAUAUUCACUAUAAUAGUCAAAAGUAUUGAGACAUGUUGUCAUGUUAUUAAAUGAGAAUAUGUCUCAAAACUUUUUGUACGUCUCAAACUUUUUGUCUCAAAACGUUUUGUAACUGCAUAUCUAAGUAAAGGUAUGCAGUAACGACAAAAGUCAUGUUCGAGGCCCUGAAUAUUCACUUACCCUCGUGAUGGUGGCGUCCUCCAGAGCGGGCGUGACCAGUCGUCUUGGGCCCCACAGCCAGCUAAACACGACCCCCAUGUCCUUGCUAUCUCCUUACUGACUGAGCACGUACUCCAGGGAGGCCCGAAAACGCAGCUAGGUGCAAACUACGCUGAUACUGUCACACGUCGUCUGCUUCAAUUCAAGCAAGACGGACAGGAAAA